CGGGGCCAGAUCAUUGUCCCCGUAAACCUUUCAUUUGCAAUUCUCUUACUCUCCAUCCUUUAAGAGGCCUUCUCAGUGUCUUCCCCCACAUCAACUCCCCUCUUGUUAUGAAGACAAUUUCAGAUUUGGACCAUGUAACUUAGCACCUGAUUACAUCCCACACUGGUGAUGUUCUUUCCAUCUUCAGGAAAGACCCUGGUGCCUGUCCUCUGCCGCUGCCAGGGUAUCUGGUGGCUCAGUGGACACUGGCACUCCUUCGAAGCAGUUACUUAAAUGUGAUACCUGCACUUGCCGUCAGGAGCUCUGCCCAGCUUCAAAGAUGAGGGCCGCGGUGUUCAGCUUUCAAAUAAAUCAGCUUAAUUCCAGGAAAGGCUGGGUAGCUGCAGCACAUUAGAGAGCUAGAACAAGGAGCCUUGAUCCGAGGAACACGAAAUCUUCUACAUAGCAAAGUCAUUUCUUAAGAAGGGUGAUAAAUCCCACUGACGGGAACAUUCAGGCCCGUCUCUCCCACAGAUCCCGUCCUUCCCCUGAACAUAACACCCCUCCACCCCCCUUCACGAUAACUGAAGAAGAAACUCUCCAACGGGUUCUUAAAUAUGUGAGGAUCACAGCCCUGGAAUCAUCUGGUCUACAGUGGUUCGCCGUCGUCUCUUGUUGGACUGCCUGCUCUAAAACCAAGACUUGUGCAGGCGCUCGCCCCUCCUCCUCUGCCACAAGGGGACUUCAUGGCAGUUAAAUUUCAGCUUCCUUGGCAGCAGCACACGACCUCAAACAGGAGCAACUGCAGAACAGACUGAGAAGAAGGUCCUCUCCGCAAGUUUCCAUUGGUAAAAGCUUGCCAGUUCCUGGCUCCAGGGUUUGGAUGAUGUCGUCAGGAUUCUCAUGCCAUCCAUUGACUACAAUCUUUCUCCCAGAUGACCUCGCUCUUGGCUUCAUUCUGUUCUGAUAUUCCUUCCUGCAAAAAGCCUCAGCUGAAAGAUCAUUUCUUUUCUGGUAACUCUUUGAGAAGCCCUUGAAUUUACUCUCAAUUGGCAACUUGAAUGAGAUACUCAUCCUUCGAUUGAGGACCCUCAAGGAGGAGAAAUUACCCCAUAUGACUUGGCCUGAAUUACCCUUCUAUCCCUGGUCGGGUGGGGGCCAGCCAUAUCCAGGACACAUGGACAGAAAAUGAUGGAGUGGUCCUCCCAAAGGAAAGAUGCUAACAAGAAAAAAAAAAAACCAGCAUCUCUAGCAUGAAACCUCUCCCUUCUCCUCUUGGACAGUUCCCAGGAGACUCAUGGUGCCUCACGCCCCCCUGACUAGUGACUCCCAACUGUUUCUAUGAACUUCAGGGACUCUGGAGGCGUUUCAUUCAAGUUCUGUGGAAUGAUGGCUUCUCCUUUUCUUUUCUACAUUAUUAGAAGAAAUAAAAGCUUCUGUCUUUAAAAACACAAGGAAGACUUUUCUCUAAGUGCGCCCCCGCCAUUAUUUCCAAAGAGUGAGGCUAGUUUGUAGGAAGUUUUCUU